UACGUAGGUGACAAGCGUUAUCCGGAAUUACUGGGCGUAAAGCGCACGCAGGCGGCCGAGUAAGUCUGACGUGAAAUCUCCCGGCUUAACCGGGAGCGGUCGUUGGAAACUACUUGGCUUGAGGCGAUGAGAGGGGUGUGGAAUUCCCGGUGUAGUGGUGGGAUGCGUAGAUAUCGGGAGGAACAUCAGUGGCGAAAGCGGCACCCUGGCAUUAGCCUGACGCUCAGGUGCGAAAGCGUGGGGAGCAAACAGG
rnacentral:rRNA from 1 species